CUUAUACCCAGUUCUUUGGACUUGAACCCCCUUUUUCCUCAGGUCAAAACUAUAUUCCUGGAAGUUAUGGCUUGUUAUGUUUCUGGGAAAGGCACUACAAGUUGAAAUGAUGAGAAGGCCUGUGCAGAAUGAGAUGAAUGGUUAGAGGUUUUGUGGAUACAGCUGGAGAUUCCUGGUUUCCAGAGGUUUAGCUUAAGGCUGAGAGCUGCAGUGACCCAUGGGAGAGAUGCUCUAAGAAAUCUUUGGGCUCGAGACAAGUAGCCCAGUUGGAUCUUAUUUUCUGUAACACUUAUGGAAAAAGGAGGUGGAUCCUAAACUUGAGGAAAGAAUAUGAGAUUGUUCAAUUCAACUCCAGCUUCUGUAUGGAAAAUGAGACCAGACUACCCCUAAUAGUUGAGUACAUGAGUGUGUGUGGCUUGCUGUACAACCAUGCAGGAAACAUAGUAACUGGAGCAAAAGGAACCAAAGUGAGUGGAGUCUGCUUUGCUUCCCAGACAGCUGUCUUCUCUCUGUUCCUGUCACACUGGUGUCCCUGCCAGCAAUGCUCUGAGGACCUGGAUCCAGAGGCAAGGGCCCUAUAAGGGAUUCUGGAAAGACAGUGUUAUUCACUUUAGAGAUAUUAGACUACAGCUACAGAAAUGGAGGAAUGACUUCAAACAAUGACAGAUGAUUGAAACUCCUUUGUAUUAUGCAGGAAGCCAGAUGGUUGAAUUGACUUAAUAUUAUUGUGGGAUGGAAAGUAGAAAGUGGAUCUGUGCAGACAUUUACGAAGCAGGGAUAAUAGUUUUUUCCAGGCUCUGUCAUUAAAUGUCAUCACCUUAGUUCAACAUAUCUGAAUUCCAGUGUCAUUAAUGAUCCUUAAGGUUCUUUUGGUAAAUGGAAUUCAGAAAGUAUUUACUGUGUAACUUCUAUUACCAGGCAAUCUCCCAGGGGCUGGGGUACCUCUGGGAAAAAAGAUGGGACCCCUGACUUAAUGGGUUUACCUUUUAGGAUUGGAGGAGUGGGGAAAGAGAGAGAAUAAACUAUAUAUGUAACAAAUACGUAAAUUAUAUAUUAAUAUUAGAUCCUUGAUUAGGUCUAAACUCUUCCUAUAAAAGGCCAACUGGUGAAUAUUUUAGACUUCAUGGGCCUUGCAGUCUGUGCAACUCUGCCUUGUGGCAGAAGCAGCUAUAGAUGACACAUAAACAAAUGGGAUGGCUGUGUUGCCCCCAGUUGUAGUUUGCCAACAUCCACGUUUGAAGAAAGUGUGGUUAGAAAUCUACAUGUGGUGACAGACUUACAUUUUUUUUUCCUCCUUAAAUCUUUGAAGGCCAAUAAUUUUGUAAA